ensembl:lncRNA
AGCCAUUACUGAUGGAGGUUAGUGGUCAGGGACCAGCCAUUACUGAUGGAGGGUAGUGGUCAGGGACCAGGGACCAGUUAUUACUGAUGGAGGUCAGUGGUCAGGGACCAGCCAUUACUGUUGGAGGUUAGUGGUCAGUGACCAGUCAUUAUUGAUGGAGGUUAGAGGUCAGGGACCAGGGACCAGUCAUUACUGAUGGAGGGUAGUGGUCAGGGACCAACCAUUACUGAUGGAGGUCAGUGGUCAGGGACCAGUCAUUACUGAUGGAGGGUAGUGGUCAGGGACCAACCAUUACUGAUGGAGAUUAGUGGUCAGGGACCAGUCAUUACUGAUGGAGGUUAGUGGUCAGGGACCAGGGACCAGACAUUACUGAUGGA